GCCGACAUCGCUCAAUGGUAGAGCAGUGGAUUGCUAAUCCACGCCCUUCGGGGCUUCGGGGUUCAAUUCCCCGUGUCGGCG
rnacentral:tRNA from 1 species